GGGGGCGUAGUUUCAAUGGUAAAACGUCGGUCUCCAAAACCGAAGUUCAGGGUUCGAGUCCUUGCGCCCCCG
rnacentral:tRNA from 1 species